CGGGCGGCCGUGACCCUGCUGGAGUGCGGGGGGGACCUCCAGCCCCCCGGGGGGUCCCUGACGUUGCUGUGCCGCGCAUCUGGGUUCAAUUUUGGAAGUUUUGGAAUGUUCUGGAUCCUUCAGAGACCUGGGCAGGCGCUGCAAUUCGUUGCAUACAUCAACAGUGGUGGCAGCACCACCUACUCGCAGUCGGUCAAGGGUCGGUUCACGAUCUCCAGGGACAACGGGCAGAGCUCGGUGACGCUGACCAUGAACAACCUCAAGGACGAGGAUUCCGGCAUUUAUUUCUGUGCCAAACGUUCCAAUGAUUACGCUGGCAAUGCUAAUGUUGAUGCUUUUGGCAUCAAUCCUGGCAUUUCCCCCAAACUCCACCCCUGCUGA